rnacentral:tRNA from 1 species
GAGGGUAUAGGUCAAUGGUAGAGUACAUGCUUAGCAUGUGUGACAUCCUGGGUUCAAACCCCAGUACCUCCA